GAAUUUUGGUGUUGCACAUUAAAUUACAUCCCAAGAUUGUUAAAGAUACUGAAAGUGUUUUAAACAGGAUGAAACAUAUUCAGCUCUCAUAUGGGAUUUGAUAAAACUACCAAAAUACUUGUUUCAGAACUCAAAUUGGCAUCAGGGAGGAAAUGAUUAUGCAGUAGGAAACAGGACUUCUGACUCUUUUCAAAAGUAGGAAGAGAAUUAAGAAGAAGUGAGACAUGGAGCUAUGGUAAAAAUAGCCUGCACAUUGUAGAGGGGAUGGAAUUUGAUCGCGGAUAUUUUUCUCCUAAACAUGAUUGGAGUUUUGGAUCUCAUAUUUCUAUCUGUUGGUGUAUGGUAUUUAAGAGGGGAAACUUCUGUAUUCGCAAUUGCUUUUGGUUGCCUAAAACAUCGCAUGGUUCAAGGAUAUUUUGAAACGAUACUAGGAAGUCUCCAAUCGUGAUAGUUGCAUACAACAUUGAAGAGGAAGAUCAGGCUCCGUCGUUAAUAGGUAGUUGCUAUUCGAGGCCUUGCCUUCACUGAGUGCUACUAUCUCUUGAUAGGAAAUAAUGAGACAAGAAUGCUUGAAUAUGGAAUUUAUCACAUUCUUUCAUUCCGAAGGCAUUUUUUUAUUGCAAUUUCAAUUAGUUAAAUCUAC